rnacentral:rRNA from 1 species
CUACGGGCGGCUCCAGUGGGGAAUCUUGGACAAUGGGCGCAAGCCUGAUCCAGCCAUGCCGCGUGAGUGAAGAAGGCCUUAGGGUCGUAAAGCUCUUUCGCCAGAGAUGGUAAUGACAGUAUCUGGUAAAGAAACCCCGGCUAACUCCGUGCCAGCAGCCGCGGUAAUACGGAGGGGGUUAGCGUUGUUCGGAAUUACUGGGCGUAAAGCGCGCGUAGGCGGAUUAGUCAGUCAGAGGUGAAAUCCCAGGGCUCAACCCUGGAACUGCCUUUGAUACUGCUAGUCUUGAGUUCGAGAGAGGUGAGUGGAAUUCCGAGUGUAGAGGUGAAAUUCGUAGAUAUUCGGAGGAACACCAGUGGCGAAGGCGGCUCACUGGCUCGAUACUGACGCUGAGGUGCGAAAGUGUGGGGAGCAAACAGGAUUAGAUACCCCCGUAGUC